AGCGAACGCUGGCGGCAGGCUUAACACAUGCAAGUCGAACGCAUCCUUCGGGAUGAGUGGCAGACGGGUGAGUAACGCGUGGGAACGUGCCCUCCGGUUCGGGAUAACCCAGGGAAACUUGGGCUCAUACCGGAUACGUGCUUAUGGCAGAAAGGUUUACUGCCGGAGGAUCGGCCCGCGUCUGAUUAACUAGUUGGUGGGGUAACGUCCUACCAAGGCUGCGAUCAGUAGCUGGUCUGAGAGGAUGAUCAGCCACACUGGGACUGAGACACGGCCCAGACUCCUACGGGAGGCAGCAGUGGGGAAUAUUGGACAAUGGGCGCAAGCCUGAUCCAGCCAUGCCGCGUGAGUGAUGAAGGCCUUAGGGUUGUAAAGCUCUUUUACCCGGGACGAUAAUGACGGUACCGGGAGAAUAAGCCCCGGCUAACUUCGUGCCAGCCGCCGCAGUAA
rnacentral:rRNA from 1 species